UACGGAGGAUGCAAGCGUUAUCCGGAAUGAUUGGGCGUAAAGCGUCCGCAGGUGGCUAUGUAAGUCUGCUGUUAAAGAGUGAGGCUCAACCUCAUAAGAGCAGUGGAAACUACAUGGCUAGAGUGCGUUCGGGGCAGAGGGAAUUCCUGGUGUAGCAGUGAAAUGCGUAGAGAUCAGGAAGAACACCGGUGGCGAAGGCGGGAUCCUGGGCCAGUACUGACGCUGAGGAGCGAAAGCGUGGGGAGCGAACAGG
rnacentral:rRNA from 1 species